UUCCGGUUGAUCCUGCCGGACCUGACUGCUAUCGGAUUGAUACUAAGCCAUGCGAGUCAUUGUAGUAAUACAAGGCAGACGGCUCAGUAACGCGUAGUCAAUCUACCCUAUGGACGAGGAUAACCUCGGGAAACUGAGAAUAAUACUCGAUAGAACACUAUGCCUGGAAUGGUUUGUGUUCCAAAUGAUUUAUCGCCGUAGGAUGGGACUGCGGCCUAUCAGUUUGUUGGUGAGGUAAUGGCCCACCAAGACUAUUACAGGUACGGGCUCUGAGAGGAGUAGCCCGGAGAUGGGUACUGAGACACGGACCCAGGCCCUAUGGGGCGCAGCAGGCGAGAAAACUUUGCAAUGUGCGAAAGCACGACAAGGUUAAUCCGAGUGGUUUGUGCUAAACGAACCUUUUGUCGGUCCUAGAAACACCGAUGAAUAAGGGGUGGGCAAGUUCUGGUGUCAGCCGCCGCGGUAAUACCAGCUCUCCGAGUGGUGUGGAUGUUUAUUGGGCCUAAAGCAUCCGUAGCUUGCUGAUCAAGUCCCCUGUUAAAUCCAACGAUUCAAUCGCUGGACUGCAGGAGAUACUGUUAGGCUAGGGGGCGGGAGAAGCCGACGGUAUUCUCGGGGUAGGGGUAAAAUCCUAUAAUCCCGGGAAGACCACCAGUGGCGUAGGCGGUCGGCUAGCACGCGCUCGACGGUGAGGGAUGAAAGCUGGGGGAGCGAACCGGAUUAGAUACCCGGGUAGUCCCAGCUGUAAACUAUGCAAACUCAGUGAUGCAUUGGCUUGUGGCCAAUGCAGUGCUGCAGGGAAGCCGUUAAGUUUGCCGCCUGGGAAGUACGUACGCAAGUAUGAAACUUAAAGGAAUUGGCGGGGGAGCACCACAAGGGGUGAAGCCUGCGGUUCAAUUGGAUUCAACGCCGGA
rnacentral:rRNA from 1 species